GGCCGCAGAGGCUGCAGGGCGGGCAAGCCCUCUAACCAGAAGGCAGGGCUUCUAGGUGAAGUAACAAGGCCGGACGCACGCAGACGGUGGGAGACGCCUGCAUUGCUGCCUGGACAGUAACCAGGUCACGAGUGCCCACUGCCCUUGACCAGGUCACAUGUGCCUGCUGCCCUCUGUGCCCACCAGCCAGCCUUCUGAGCACUUUCCUGGAGGAACUCUUCUCCCAAGACCCCUGUGAGCCUCCAUGUUAGUAUUACCCACCUUGUACAAAGGUGGAAAGGAGAGGUAGAGAGGCCAGUAACUUGCCGACACCGUGCUGAGGAUGUGGCCUGCAGAUGCUCUGGGGAGCUGGGCAAACAGGGUCCCUGCCCUGGACCGGCCUGCACUCUGCUGAGACGCGGAGACGGCCCAGGGAGUCACGGGGCCCCUUCUGCCUGCUGCUUUGAGGAGGUAACGUGAUGACUUGGCCAAGUGGGGCAUUUCUAAGGAGGGCAGAGGGGAGGGAGCAGGAGAGGUGGGAAGGGGCGUCCUGUGGGGGAAAAGUUGUGUGCGAGGGACACCCUGUGCCAAGGAGGGAUGGGAUGCGUCUCAAGGACAGAAUGACGGGGCCUGGGGCCCGGAGAGCCUCAUGGGAGGCGCCUGGUGGGAAGGGCCAUGGGCACCGGGCGGAGGAGGCGGGCAGCACCCCAAGCAGGCAGUCGUGCUGCGUUUUGAAUGCUGUGCUCAGAAGAGAGAACACAGGGUCCUCACCUAGUUGGUGGGGACUGAGCCCCCCUACACAGGGGGAGGCCUGGAGCAUCUGUUCUCACAGGAUGUUACACAGGACACCAGGGUCCACAAACCUGCCCCAGAAGCCACCUGUCGGGGGAGUGGACGGGUGACCUCAGGCACGGUUGGGAUUCCCCCCAAACACACACACACACGCGCACACACACGUGCACGCGCACACCCUCUGGAGCAGCCCAGCUGGGGCAUGUGUGUGUCUUAUGCCUAAUGUUUCAGCUGGCUAAAGGAUCUCUAAGCUCCCUUCCAGCACAAACGUUUCAGAAUUUGGUACAUUGUGUGGUGAUUAGCAUGCAGUGGCUUGCCAGCAAAUGUUCACCACGAUGUACUGACGAGACAGAGCUGGAAUAAGACAUUUGACCCAAACAAAACAUCCAGGAGACACACCCGGUGCCCUCCUCGCCUGCCCCCCAAACUCAGAGAGAAAAUCGGGAACAACACUUCCUGGUAUGGACUGACUCCCCGAGCAGCGCUGGCCUCCCUGUGGACGGACGUGCAGACGGGCUCCGGGGCCGCGAGCUGGAGAGAGGGCGGCAGGUGCACAGACCUGAAGCAAUGUAAAUGCUUUCCCCUGAUUUUUCUGACUAGAGGUGAUACAUUCUCUAAGCAUAAAACUUAGGAAUUGUAGGCGCAUGUUGGAGAAGAAACUCAGCCAUUGAGCUGUAACCACUGUAAAAAGUUGACUCUCUUCCUAGUCUAUGCUCAGACAGAUCUUUUUUUGAAAUGAGGAUAAAGUAAAAGAAUUGUAUUCUGACUUUUCCAUCAAAAUUUUGUUAGUAUUUUAUCACAACAGGAAAACUUUUUAACACUUUUCAUGACAGUGUAUUACCCCAUCGGCCUGGAAUGUACUGUAAUGGACCUUAGGUUGAAGGUGCUUCAAUUUUUCACGUAUGUGGUUUUGAGGGAGUUCUCCCAACAACGGCAGGCUGGGGUCUUUGAACAAAUCCCCUCACUUAAAAAAAAUAACAAAAUCUGGACAAAAAAUUUUAAAUACCUCUUUGAAGGUAUCAAGGAGUUAACGAAUCAGCGAGAAUAUGUGAGGCCAAAUCUGGGACAGAAAGGGAUCCAUGAGACAGGAAACCAAAUAUCCGAAUGAACGAAUAGAUGAACGAAUGAACGAGCGAAAGGACAAAUGAGUGAGUGAAUGAACCGCCUGACAAGGAAGGAGCCGGUGGGCCGAGCUUGCAGGGCACCUCGGUCACACGCGGCCUCCGGUCUGGACCCGUGCGCCCCUCGGCCGGUUGAACGGCGCGCUCCAGCUCUUUCGGAAGCAGCGUGUGCAGAGAACAGCGCUUGUUUGCGCUGCUGGGGUGUGUUUGCGUUUAGGAUCAUGGAGUUUACUCAAUUAAGAAAUACAGUGGAAAGGAGGCACUGCCUCUACUUGGCAGACAAAACAAAGCGAGGAGGGGGGAGGGUCUCGGGCAGCUGACUCCUGCUCUUAGUCUUAAAGAAAUGACCACCUUCCCUGCACUAUUUUUUUCUCCUUUCCGUCUUGUCCUUUUAUGCACAUAUGAUAUGUUCUGAUGUCCUGAAGGGUGGCGGUGAGCUUCCUGGCCACGUUCCUCUUCCUGUGAGACCCUCGCUGCGAGUCUGUGUGGGUGUGUUCAUAGCUAACCUUGUGGAGUGUUACAUUUAUUUCAUCCUCACAAGGCUGGGAGGUAGGAACUGUUGUUGCCACAUCACGCAGAUGGGAACACUGAGACCCAGAGUGGCGAUGUGACUUCCACAUGGUCACACAGCCCCAGGUGGCCGAGCCUGGAUUUAAACCCCAGGGGGGCCUAGCUCCAUAGCCCAUUACCUUGGUCACCAGCUAGACCUCAAAAGCCAACGUGAUGAUUUCUAAAGAAAUUCCAACAUAUUUCUGCCAUAUUUAGUCAGCCCAGGGAAGGCCUCGUGGUGCAACGAUAGCGCAUCUGAUUCCAUAUUUAGUCAGCCUGCUCUUUGCAGGAAAUGUAAGUGCCUUGGGUUUAAUUUAAUGAAACCUAUCAUUGGAAAAGAUAUCCCGAGAUAAUUCGUUUCUUAAAUGGUGGAAAUGAGGCUGCAGUUGCACAGUGUUGAUUUGAAUCAGGGUGGGCCCUCUGGAAGAGGGGGUGCCAGCAAGGGGAGGCUCCUGGGAAGAGAACGGGCUGAGAUGGACGGCAGUGCGGAGGCUGCAGCGGGCCUGGAGUCACAGAGGGUGUGGCGGUGUGCAGGGGUCACAGCAGGAAGGAGGGGCCGAGACCGCCCCUGACCGAGGGCUCGGGAAGCUGAGCUAAGAGCUCUCUAACAUCCCUUCCUGCUCUGAAAUAUGACCAACCCAGGCCAUCUCUCCAGAGCCCACGGUGGAGAGAGGACCAGACGAGCCUGCCACUCCCUCUUGGAGGGGUGGGGUGGGGUGGCAGGCAGUCCGCCUGGCAUUGAGCUGGCACCCAGUGGGUGCUGUAGGUAGCUUCUGCAGGCUUGGAGGCUACUGUUAGCCUCCCCGCUUCGAUGAUUCACCCUGGCCUCCCUUUGGGGAAUAACUCCUCCUCUACUGUGUGAGGUCCUGCAAGCCAUCUGAACAAGGAGCCCACCUUGCCCAGGGGAACACGUGACUGAGCAGGCCCAUCAGGUCCCCAUCCUGGAACAGACAGAUCCGGGGAGGGAAGAAAAGGCCAAGUGCCCACUCACUCCUGCAGCACCGCCCUGGGCGUCCUGGGCACAGGGAGGAGCGACUGUGGUCUGGUUCUCCAGGCCUGUUUCUCCAGCUUCUGCUCUGAAUCCCUGUGCUGGGCCACGCCCUGCAGAGGACGCCUGGUCAGCGCUGGGCCACGCCCUGCAGGGGACGCCCUGUCUGCUACAUCCGUCGGAGUCCUGCCUGCUGCUUGCCCCCCACGAUGCGGCGGCUCCACGGCUGACAGCUGGAACAAGAGGUGAAUGAUCGUGAACAGCGACGGCCAUCGCUGGUCGACACCAGGCCCUGCUUCUGCGCCUGCUAGAAGCAAGAUUGGAGUUUUUUUUUUUCUUUUCUGAUGUUCACUGUGAAAAUCUGGUCAAGCUCCUAGAGGUGAAAUUGACAGAAGCGUUAGGGCCUGACGCCUGGCUCCUGCGGUUUUCCACUCUCAGCCUUCAGCAGAUCACCGGCCCCGGUGGCUGCGGGAGUCUCUACGCAGUUUUUCUACAGACAAGAGGCCGGCGGAGGACGUGGCGGAGGGUUCUUUGUCGGAAGGCUCCCUAUCUUCAGUGUGCAUCAGGAUCACCGGGAGGGCUUGUCAGAAUGCUGCUUCCUGGGCCCCACUCCCAGAACCCCCAGUUCAGUGUGUGCGGGGCCUAAGAUGUGCGUUACUAGCGAUUCCCCAGGUCACGCGGACGCUGCUGGUGCAGGGACCGUGGGGCAUAAGCAUCUUAGCAGCUCUGGCCUAGGCUUUAAGGAAUGUAAUGUGAGCCCCGUAAUUUAGAAUUUUCUGAUAGCUGUGUAUUUUACUACACCCCAAAUCUUGUUUCUAAUAGCCAUAUUCUAAAAAGGGGGAAAUAACGAAAUUGAUUUUAAAAUAGGCCUUGUUUAUCCCAAUAUACCCAGCGAUUUAUCUCAAAUGUAUCAUUUCAACAUGUGGCUGGAAAAAAGCUACUGAUGAAGUCUCCUGCCUUCUUUGACGUACGUGAGCUCUUCAGAAUCAGCUGUGUGCUCUGACAGCAGCGCAGCCCCGUCAGCCCCUCACAUACCAGGCGCCCAGUACACCUACCGUUGCAUGGCCACCGUUCUGCGGUUCUGGGUCUUCCUUUUGAGAACUCAGAGCUGCUUUUGCAAAAGUGCCCUUCCUGCCCCCCUCCUUCCUUGAGCCACUUCCCCCAGCACCUCAGUGUGUGCCCACUGCCUCCAGUCCAGUGCUGGCUACACUGGAAUCACUUGAGGGGAUUUGAAACAUCCUGAUGCUGGAAUCCCACCCCACAGUGUUCUGACCGCGGUCCUCUGCAGUGUAGCCUGGACAAGGAGAUGCUCGCCUGCCCUGGGCAGGAAGCACAUGCAGCUGGAGACCCCAGCAGUGCGGACGCCACUCCCCACCCCCCACCUACGGGACAUGAGGGCUUCACCGCCGUCACCUUCCGCAGACUGCGGGCUCCCUGCUGCUGGGCUGGGCCUGCUGUCCGCGUCUUCCCCAGCCCCGGCCCCUGCCUGGCGCUUGUGCAGAUGCUCAGUAAGUACGCGCUGAACGGGCCGGUGAACGUGUGGUUUCACAACAGUUCAUCCUCAGUCGGUCUCCCUUGGCCAUCUGGACCUCCGCAGCUCCCCGUUACACUUCCUACCAUUCAUUCGUGCGUGUUCAAGGGACACAGACCCGUGUCACCAAUAUCCUCGUUAGAAAAUGAGCAUGUGGCUCAAAGGCUGCAGGCCUGGCUUUUAGAGGCAAAGAGGGAAGGUUAGGGCGGAAGGCCUCAGGUUUUGGCAGGCAAUUGAAAGUGCAGGUUCCCAGGGCCCCAGCCCAGACCUGCUGAAUGAGCCUCUGGAGGUGGGGCCCCGGCGUCGGCGUGUUAACAAGCGCCCCACGUGAUUCUGGCCCCUGGUGGCUUAGGUUCCCUCCACCGUGACCGUCUGAUUUAUUGGGCAGACAUCUGUCCUUAGUGAACCGGCAAGGGGCUCUGUCCCCUCAGCUGUUAGCACGGCACGCGCCAGUGAAGCGCCCCCCUCGUGCCAGGCCCCGUGGAGUGAAAGGCUGCAGGAGAGGGUAAGACUCGGCACUUGCUCCCGGAGGCUUGCCUGCGGCGGGCGGGGGGAGGCAGACCAGCCAGGAGGAGGUGCACUUCCCUCGUGCCACGCAAGGGGGCGCUGUACGGAGUCCUGGGGGCCAGAGGAGAAACAUGAGCUGGACCUGGAUGCUGGCCAAGGCCAUCCCAGCUGGCAUCCGCAGGCCAAAGAGGAGGGAGCCAGGAAAUCUCAGCGUGACUGGGAGAUAGGAUUCCAGACAGAGUGGGAGAGACAGGCUGGAGGGGCACGCCCAGAACCUGGUCUUCGUCCAAGGACACAACGUGUGAAAUCUGCACCUCACAGCUGAACUCCUAUGCAGCGGGUGUGAAUUGCCCACAUUCUGUAAGGUUCCUCGGAAAGCGCUGGACUGUCACCUGCUCUUUAGAACCUAAAUGAAUAUCGCCCAUCUGAAGACAGUUUGCAAUAAAAUUGUCUUCACAGUUAUUGAGAGUUUGUGCUUCUCCUGCCAGCCCCUAUGCUUGAUUUAAAUUCCUUCCAUCUGGAAUUAUUAGUUAAGGGCAGUUUAUCAAAGCGAAGAUGGAUGGCGUAAGCAGAUUUUGCUGCUGGCAUUUAGAAAAGCGUGUUAUCCCCCUGCCAUUCAGCAGAAGUUCUUUAAUCACAGUUGAU